rnacentral:rRNA from 1 species
UACGUAGGGUGCAAGCGUUAUCCGGAAUUAUUGGGCGUAAAGAGCUCGUAGGCGGUUUGUCGCGUCUGCUGUGAAAUCUGGGGGCUCAACCCCCCAGCCUGCAGUGGGUACGGGCAGACUAGAGUGCGGUAGGGGAGAUUGGAAUUCCUGGUGUAGCGGUGGAAUGCGCAGAUAUCAGGAGGAACACCGAUGGCGAAGGCAGAUCUCUGGGCCGUAACUGACGCUGAGGAGCGAAAAGCGUGGGGAGCGAACAGG